rnacentral:misc_RNA from 1 species
GAUGAAGAACGCAGCGAAAUGCGAUAAGUAGUGUGAAUUGCAGAAUUCAGUGAAUCAUCGAAUCUUUGAACGCACAUUGCGCCCCUUGGUAUUCCAUGGGGCAUGCCUGUUCGAGCGUCAUUUGUACCUUCAAGCUUUGCUUGGUGUUGGGUGUUUGUCUCGCCUCUGCGUGUAGACUCGCCCUAAAACAAUUGGCAGCCGGCGUAUUGAUUUCGGAGCGCAGUACAUCUCGCGCUUUGCACUCAUAACGACGACGUCCAAAAGUACAUUUUUACACUCUUGACCUCGGAUCAGGUAGGGAUACCCGCUGAACUUAAGCAUAUCAAUAAGCGGAGGA